rnacentral:lncRNA from 1 species
AUGUGCCGUGCUGUGCAGAAUACACGUCUAGUUGCAAGAGAAGAUUUGCUCAAGUUCAACUGCCGGGCGACGUCAUUGGAGAACACCUUGGAGCAAAUCCUCCAUACGUUUUUCUUCAUGCUCGGCCCGCCACUGAUGGAUAAUCUGUUCACCUUCAACAGUCGUUGUUCCAGCCUAUCUAGGUCUGCAGUAGAUGCUAGAGGAAAGACACCACCCUCUUCCUCUUCAGCCAUCAGCAUUUGGGUACUCAAGACUGGAUUUUCCUGUCUCCAACAAGAAGUACCUGUAAGUACAAAUUUACUGUAA